rnacentral:lncRNA from 1 species
AAACUUAUUCUUAGUGCAGUAUCUACAGUAGGAACAGUGCACCCCAUCCUCUCUCCAAUGGCAAUACCUAAUUUCAGUACCCACUAGACGUUGUUUCCUGAGAACUGGACAAUUUGAACACAAAAUUCAUGUCCAAGCCUGGUGAACUCUCCUCUUGAUCUGCCAGAUGACCAAAGGCUCAUUAUUUACUUAGAGAUGGCACUCAUCUGCUCUAACAUUACAGCAGCGUGUGUGGUGGAGUAGCUACAUACUAAUAGGGAAAUCGUGAUGUAUGAGGACACAAUGGAAAAUCUGCAGUUCCAGGGUAGCAACUUCAAAUGCACACUUAAAAGGCAAGGUGACAAGGAUCCAGGAUUUAUCUCUGGUAAUCUGUGAAUCUUCACUGUUUUCUUCUCCUCCUUUCCUUUCAAAUCACACUGAGGACAAUUUUUCAAAGUGCGAGAAAGAAGCACGGCCUUUCCAAAGGUGGAGGAGAUGUUUGCUUGUCAGCGGGUUCUGUAAGUGACAAGGUGCUGAGAGAGGCUCCAAAGGUGCUAGGGGCUGAAUCUAACAAUAUGUGCAGUGUUCUAGGCUGUGCACCACAGACUUGCGUGUUGCAGUAAAUACACAGCCCACGGGAAGCAUGUCAGUGGUACAUCCGCACUACUGUUCCCC